UGUAUGAAAGCCCAACGACGCCACCCAGAGGUAUCUUUGUGUUUAUAACCCUUUUAAUGUUUGGGAAAGCCUGAACAAGUCAAGACAUGCCCGGACAAGUAUCAGGAGGCAGUCUAUAUGUAUGAGUGGAGUGACUGACUUGUUCAUUGUGCAAGAAAAGGGACUACUGCAUGUUUGUUUCUUCUGUGAGUGAUUGAUUAAAAAACCACACACGCACACACAAACUUGCAAGGAUAAUUCAAAUAAAACCUUCAACUGGGACCUGCUCUCUUGCUCCCGUUUCUCUAACCGGAAACUCCCACUACCAUUUCUACGUGUACCUAAACGAACCCUUGAGCGUCCCACGCGCUCGUGCACCCUGUGUGAAUAAGCGCUUCAGGCCCGGACACAUUCAGAGGCGUCUCCUAUCAGACCGUAUUACACUGCAGUCCAUCCGAUUCAACUGUUGCAUUAAUUGCACUGGAAGAUGACAGUGUAACUAAUGAGGAAUAUGCAUUGUGAAUGUCUAUAUCUGUUCAUUAGCAACACACUAGUGUUCACGAACUGAGCGAGGAUCUGCCCUCUAGUGAGCAGUUGAGAUGAAGAAUGCCAUCAUG
ensembl:lncRNA